rnacentral:misc_RNA from 1 species
AACCAUAGAAACCUGCGGAGUACCUGCGGAAGGAUCAUUACUGAAGAAAUGAUAGGGUUGAGCUGACUCCUUGGAGUAUGUGCUUGCACUAUCGCUUUUUCUAUUCUCCACUGUGAACCUUUUGUAGACUUUUUAUGAUAUUUGACUUCUUAUUCCUAGGAGUUCAUGGAGACUUGCAUUUCUUAGAUGCUUGACUCUACCCUUAUCAUACAAGUCUAUGAUCUUUAUAUCUACUCCAGU